rnacentral:lncRNA from 1 species
UGUUUGCCAACCAAGAUUCUACUUCACUGUGUUUAGUUUUUUAUUUUCAGUGCUUUUUUGUUGCUUUUUGAUGUGCAUAGCUCAAAUACUUCAAGGUACGACAUGAUGAAUAUUAAAAUGCGCUGGUUUUUCUUUUUUAGAAAACUCAUUUAUGUUUUUUGUAUCAUUUGCUAUUUAAUUAUUUUUUUUUAUUGCAUUGCUAUUACAAUUAUUUGCAUUACAAUAUAUUAUUCUUUAAAAAGCAUUCUAUCAUAAAGGAACCAGCACACAUGCAUGCAAACACUGACGUGGAUAGUCUCACGUGGGAACAGGUGGAGUGCCCAAAAUAAGCACAGCUCUGUAGCUGCUUUUACCCCUACAGCUCCAUUUUCUCUCUGUCACAUAUAAAAACUGGAAAGACAACUGUGAAGACAAGUGCCACUCAGAGCAGCUCAGGAACUGUCCAACUGAGAACUGACUGGAGAAAAGAUCAAACUGUGAAAUAGCACAUGUAGUUGCAGGAAAGAACAAUGGCACUCACUUUCUUUUUGCUGCACAUUAGUGCCCCUGGUCACCGGUCUCCCUCGACGUCCAGCCCGUCACCCAUGCAUUCCCUUUAGCAGUGUGCGUCUCUGGUAGAUGGUGUCAUCAUUGAUGUGUGGAUUACAAUAAUAUCUAAAUAAAUGAUAUAGAUUCUAAAAUACUGUCGGCUUGCCGCGUGUUUCUUCAUGCAUAAUAAUUACUCUUGAAAUGCUAGUUGGGUUGUUAUUAAUUGUUUUAAAUAUGAGAUGAUAUGUGAGGAAACUGGCUGCUUGUGAGGAGGGUUAGCCUGUCCCGUAACCUGAUCAGUGGUGCCCUCUCCAUUCCUCUCCCCAAAAUAACUCUACACUCAAUCUGCUAAUUCUUCACUGGGUACAGACACUUCCACACACUAGACUAUGGCAGAGAACACAAGGCAGAAAGAGUGAGGUCACACCUCCGCACUGAAAGACGGUCCCCUCCUGAAAUAGUUUGAUACAGGCCACAUAUUCAUCUGUUAGAUGUGGACAACGAGAAAAUUUAUGGAGAUUAUCAGUGUCUGUCAGAUUGAUCAAAACUGUUGCUUUUACUGAAUUUGCUUUAUUGACCUGGACAGGAUUACAGUUUAUUUUUGGACCAAGACUAUUGAAUAGGGUGUGUGAUGCCCUGUCUCCAGGUGUUUCACAGCUGGCCUGUGUGAGGUCACUGUGGAUGAGUGUGGUUAACAUCUUCAUCACUCCGCUCUGCACAUCUGUGGUUCGCUGUUGCAGUGGCAUACACGUGGUGUUCUCCAAAGAAUGACGAAACACAAGGAGAAAUCGGAGGAAGCUUGUCAAACUGCUUUUCUCUCAGUUACAAAACAUGAAUCAAUGGAAUACCUGAAUGGAUUUUUUGCUGUUUGAAGCUGUGUUGAAAUAACAAUGAGACAUUCAAAGAAGAGGAUUACAUGUUAUUAAACUGAUUUUACAUGUUAUUAAAUAGAUAUUUAAUCAUUUGUAACAAAUUCUGCAUGGGUUUGUCAUAUGUAGAAACUACAAUAGGCCUAUAGUCUAACCUUUUUUCAUACAAUCUGUUAAUAUUUAUUUCUCUCUCUGAUGUUUGUCUGAUGUCGGAUGUCUGUUUUGAUGCUUGCCACAUCAUAUAUGUAGGCUAUUUUAUUAAAACAACCACUUAGCAUGCAUUUUUAACAUACAAGCUCUCAUUUACUCCAGUCUUCAGUGUCACACGAUGCCUCAGAAAUCACUCUAAUAUGCUGAUUUGGUACUCAAGAAACAUUUCUUAAAUAUUAUUACUUGUGCUGCUUAAUAUUUUUGUGGAUUCUGACUAUUUUUUUUCAUGAUUCUUUAAUAGAAAGUUGUUGUUUAUUAUUUAAAAGUAAUUUCUCAGUAACUAUAAAGCUU